AAAUAGUAUUCCUAUGUUCUUUUCAAUCGUGCUGAAAUUAAGAAAACACUCGUAUAUUCAAUGCAUAUGAUACUAUGAGACAAGUUAUCAUCCUUCUACAUGAAUACAAUUGUAAUGAAAAGCUUCAAGUCAACAUAUCCGGUAAAAUUACUAUCUGUCCGAAUCGCAUACAACUGGCAGGAAACGGCGAAAAACGUGCCCUCUAUCGUGCAGAUUUUUGAUUACACGACAUCUAACGGAAAGCCCCGUCCUCAUGCUCGACGAAACUUGAGCGACGAAACCGAAAAGAGGAGGAGAAACCUAUAGCUCGUCUCUCUCCCCUGAGAGAAGUAUAGCAUACCCAAUAGUUGAGUCAGGUCAGUUUGCUAGCCUUACAUAAAAGAGGCUAAGUAACGACGAAGAGAAAGAAGAUAGGAAACGUUAUAAGAUAUACACACAGGAUGAACAGGGCAAACCUGAAGAGAACAGUGCUGCGGGAGAAGAGAGGCAUCGAGGCAAGGAGAGUAAGGGCAACAAGAGAACGGGUGGGGGCACCUGUUACAACCGACCAGACCGUUCUUUCGCUCUCCCUUUCCCUCUUUGUCGUGCACUCAUCCACAUGCCACUUAGGCUGUUACAUUGAAAUUUCUACGGAACGAUCGGAUAUAUACAGCGCUUCUAAAAUGAGCGAACAAAUUUUGGAUGUGUAUACUACUACACUACCAUAAACGUUUCGUCCAUAACGGGACAAGAUGAACUGUUCGUGCUUACUAUAGAACAGAGACUACUACACGCUAAUCGUUUAAACGAUACGUACGUGUUUUGACUUGUCGAUACAUUUAUGUAUACAGGGUGUUCUAAAAGAGAGAAAAGCACUUCGGAUCUAAUAGGAUAAUCUGAUUACUUCUAAUAAAAUUUCUAAAAUUUUAUGAUUAAAAAAUAGAAUAAAUAUCCAUUGUCAUUUUUGUUAAUGUAAAAUAGUUCGUCGAGCUUUAUUUUUAAAUUCAUAUUAAGUUACCUCACUUCCUUACAUAAGUAGUAUCUCUUAGAAGACAACUUGGAGGAAAGUUUGAAUGACAAUAUAUAAAUAGCCAAUUCCUGGGGGCCUUAACGAUGUUCACCUUGAGGAUGGGAAAAGAUCCCAUGGACACGGAGGGGAAAUACUCCCUUUCGAGUUAUGGCUAUCUUUUGUUUGCGACAGAGGUUUGCAAGGAUAGCUGGCUAGUUUGCAAGCGUUUAAAAUUGAAAUAAGUAUUCACCGUUAACGGUUAGAAAUGGUUUUCUUUCCUAACAGAAAACUUCUCGCACGUUCUCGAGCUACUUUGAAUUCUGUCACGCGAAACUAGGAUGUAAUUUGAACAUUGGCGGCGAUAGCAGUGUAAACGAACAACUUUAACUACCUUCGUGAAUGAGACUACAAAUAAUAUAUUCACAUAAUUGGAUCUUAACCAGCACCCGUUAAUAAUCUAAUCGGAGUAACUAUAAUGCAGAUAAGUUAUGCAUGAUUAGGUGUGGUAGGCCAGAUUAAAGUUAUUUGAGAUUUU